rnacentral:lncRNA from 1 species
UUAACUCUGAGCAGCACCAGUGGAAAUUUACUGGCUGCUUCCUCUGUGCCAGAGCCAGCCCGGCUCCAGAAGCUUCCCUUCUUAUCUGAACCCGGCUGGGAACCCACGGCCGCCGGCCUUCGGAGGGGGCACGCAGCACGGAGCAGCUCGGGGUUGCAGAAAUCCCCCCGAUUUUGGGGCUGCGAGCGGGGCAGCAUCCCCGGGUCGAGGCGUGCACCUCGUGCAGGUCCACGAGGAGCCCUGGCCACGACCACCGAGCUCGCACCCGGCAGUGUCCCCGCGCGGCAUGCCACGCUGUCCCCGUGUCACCAAACGGGGCGCGAUCGCCCCGCGGCGCGCCGAGGUCCGCGGGAUGCUCGAAACACGGCGAAACAGCCGCGGGUUUUUCCGUCCCGUGGGGUCGGGUCGCGCGCGCCUUUUGCUUGGCGGCUCGUUUCCAGGAGGAAGCUCAUUAGCCUAAUUUGCCCUCGACGCGCUCGGCCGGAGCCAGUCCCUGUUGCAGCACCGCUGCCGUGCUCCCACCGCGGCGCGGCGACCACCCUGAGCUGUCCAUCCGUCUGUCCCUUUGCACGCAUCCGUCCGUCUGUCCGUCCUUGGGUGCGUGGCUCCCGGCGGGUCACGGUGAGGGGACAGGAAGGAGAGGAAAAGGAGCUGCCAGCAGCGGCCGCGGGCGAAGAUAAGGGAGGGUCAGAGGCUGGGGGUUAUUUAACGCCAAGGGAAAAAUCCCAAAGGUGCAGGAGGCAGCCUGCUGCUGCGGGAGGGCUUGGGGUAAAAACAGCGGCUUUGGGACGAGGGAAUUGGGGCGAUAUUAUAGGGGAAUGGGAUGGGCGAUUGGGGGAUGCCCUCCAGGGAGUCCCCAUAAGCAACCCCCCCCCCCAGUUGGGGGAAGAGAAUCAGGCCCUGAAGGCGACGUAUGGGUGGGUUUGGGGCCUGGCAGAGGGGUUUUUUUUGGGGGGGGGGGGGGGGGACCCCCCCGGGGGCUGGGGGAAAAGGAGGGGGGGAAAGGGAGGGGCGGGGGGAGUUGAGGGGGGGAGGGACGGGAGGGGGACA